GAAUUCACAUUUUUUCUUGAUUAACCAUAUUAUGCAAAACUCAAGAAAUUAAGAAUUUUUUACAAGUACACGACAAUUCAGUACACAUGGUCGAAACAAACAAAUUAUGUAAGCAAGGAUCUCUCUCUCAAACCUGGGGUGAAAUUUUCUCUGUAG